GAUGAACGCUGGCGGCGUGCCUAAUACAUGCAAGUCGAGCGAACGGACGAGAAGCUUGCUUCUCUGAUGUUAGCGGCGGACGGGUGAGUAACACGUGGAUAACCUACCUAUAAGACUGGGAUAACUUCGGGAAACCGGAGCUAAUACCGGAUAAUAUUUUGAACCGCAUGGUUCAAAAGUGAAAGACGGUCUUGCUGUCACUUAUAGAUGGAUCCGCGCUGCAUUAGCUAGUUGGUAAGGUAACGGCUUACCAAGGCAACGAUGCAUAGCCGACCUGAGAGGGUGAUCGGCCACACUGGAACGGAGACACGGUCCAGGCUCCGACGGGAGGCAGCAGUAGGGAAUCUUCCGCAAUGGGCGAAAGCCUGACGGAGCAACGCCGCGUGAGUGAUGAAGGUCUUCGGAUCGUAAAACUCUGUUAUUAGGGAAGAACAUAUGUGUAAGUAACUGUGCACAUCUUGACGGUACCUAAUCAGAAAGCCACGGCUAACUACGUG
rnacentral:rRNA from 1 species